GCCUACCAAGGCUGCGAUGCAUAGCCGACCUGAGAGGGUGAUCGGCCACAUUGGGACUGAGACACGGCCCAAACUCCUACGGGAGGCAGCAGUAGGGAAUCUUCGGCAAUGGACGAAAGUCUGACCGAGCAACGCCGCGUGAGUGAAGAAGGUUUUCGGAUCGUAAAACUCUGUUGUUAGAGAAGAACAAGGAUGAGAGUAACUGUUCAUCCCUUGACGGUAUCUAACCAGAAAGCCACGGCUAACUAC
rnacentral:rRNA from 1 species